GACGAACGCUGGCGGCGUGCUUAACACAUGCAAGUCGAACGGAAAGGCCCCUUUGGGGGUACUCGAGUGGCGAACGGGUGAGUAACACGUGAGUAACCUUCCCUUGACUUCGGGAUAACUUCAGGAAACUGGGGCUAAUACCGGAUAGGAAUCCUUGCUGCAUGGUGGGGGUUGGAAAGCUUCGGCGGUUUUGGAUGGACUCGCGGCUUAUCAGCUUGUUGGUGGGGUAGUGGCUUACCAAGGCUUUGACGGGUAGCCGGCCUGAGAGGGCGACCGGCCACAUUGGGACUGAGAGACGGCCCAGACUCCUACGGGAGGCAGCAGUGGGGAAUAUUGCACAAUGGGCGGAAGCCUGAUGCAGCAACGCCGCGUGCGGGAUGACGGCCUUCGGGUUGGAAACCGCUUUCAGCAGGGGCGAAGCUUGUGGUGACGGUACCUGCAGAAGAAGCACCGGCUAACUACGUG
rnacentral:rRNA from 1 species